UAGGGAAUCUUCCACAAUGGACGCAAGUCUGAUGGAGCAACGCCGCGUGAGUGAAGAAGGUCUUCGGAUCGUAAAACUCUGUUGUUAGAGAAGAACACGAGUGAGAGUAACUGUUCAUUCGAUGACGGUAUCUAACCAGCAAGUCACGGCUAAUUACGUGCUAG
rnacentral:rRNA from 1 species